GAGGAAGUAAAAGUCGUAACAAGGUUUCCGUAGGUGAACCUGCGGAAGGAUCAUUACUGAGUUUUGAAGUGGGCUUGAUGCUGGUGUCUUAARCGACGCAUGUGCUCAGCCCCGCUCUCAUCCACUCAACACCUGUGCACUUUCAAAGUUGUGGUCCUCCGUAAUGGGAGUCGCAGGUCUUUUUGACUUGCUGGGACUGCACUUUGCCAUUUAUCACAAACUAUAUACAUUGUCUUGUAGAAUGUUCAGCCUCAUUGUGGGCGAAACUUAAUACAACUUUCAACAACGGAUCUCUUGGCUCUCGCAUCGAUGAAGAACGCAGCGAAAUGCGAUAAGUAAUGUGAAUUGCAGAAUUCAGUGAAUCAUCGAAUCUUUGAACGCACCUUGCGCUCCUUGGUAUUCCGAGGAGCAUGCCUGUUUGAGUGUCGUGAAAUUAUCAACUCCCUUUCUUUAUUGAAGGGUGAGCUUGGACUUGGGGAUUGCUGGUGCAAAUUGGCUUCCCUUGAAUGCAUUAGCUGGAAUUUGAUUCGCAGCAUAUAUGCGGUGUGAUAAUGUCGUCACUGUGUAGCUCGGAUUGUCUGGCUUCUAAUCGUCCUUCACGGGACAAUUUGAUCUUUUUGACCUCAAAUCAGGUAGGACUACCCGCUGAACUUAAGCAUAUC
rnacentral:rRNA from 1 species